rnacentral:rRNA from 1 species
GACGAACGCUGGCGGCGUGCCUAAUACAUGCAAGUAGAACGCACAGUUUAUACCGUAGCUUGCUACACCAUAGACUGUGAGUUGCGAACGGGUGAGUAACGCGUAGGUAACCUGCCUGGUAGCGGGGGAUAACUAUUGGAAACGAUAGCUAAUACCGCAUAAUAUUGAUUAUUGCAUGAUAAUUAAUUGAAAGGUGCAAUUGCACCACUACCAGAUGGACCUGCGUUGUAUUAGCUAGUAGGUGAGGUAACGGCUCACCUAGGCGACGAUACAUAGCCGACCUGAGAGGGUGAUCGGCCACACUGGGACUGAGACACGGCCCAGACGCCUACGGGAGGCAGCAGUAGGGAAUCUUCGGCAAUGGACGAAAGUCUGACCGAGCAACGCCGCGUGAGUGAAGAAGGGUUUCGGAUCGUAAAGCUCUGUUGUAAGAGAAGAACGGGUGUGAGAGUGGAAAGUUCACACUGUGACGGUAUCUUACCAGAAAGGGACGGCUAACUACGUG